CAAGUACUCCCUCCGUUCGGAAUUACUUGUCAUCAAAAUGGAUGUGUCUAGAACUAAAAUACAUCUAGAUACGUCCAUUUCAAUGACAAGUAUUUUCGGACGGAGGGAGUACAAG
rnacentral:pre_miRNA from 1 species